CCUACGGGAGGCAGCAGUGAGGAAUAUUGGUCAAUGGACGCAAGUCUGAACCAGCCAUGCCGCGUGCAGGAAGACGGCUCUAUGAGUUGUAACCUGCUUUUGUACGAGGGUAAACGCAGAUACGCGUAUCUGUCUGAAAGCAUCGUACGAAUAAGGAUCGGCUAACUACGUGCCAGCAGCCGCGGUAAUACGGAGGAUUCAAGCGUUAUCCGGAUUUAUUGGGUUUAAAGGGUGCGUAGGCGGUCGGAUAAGUUAGAGGUGAAAUCCCGAGGCUCAACUUCGGAAUUGCCUCUGAUACUGUUCGGCUAGAGAGUAGUUGCGGUAGGCGGAAUGUAUGGUGUAGCGGUGAAAUGCUUAGAGAUCAUACAGAACAUCGAUUGCGAAGGCAGCUUACCAAGCUACUUCUGACGUUGAGGCACGAAAGCGUGGGGAGCAAACAGGAUUAGAUACCCUAGUAGUC
rnacentral:rRNA from 1 species